rnacentral:snoRNA from 1 species
AUGCACUAGAUACUAACCUGACUGUCAGCUGCCCAGUCGUUUUUGUACUGGUGCACUUCAGUGGCUGUCAGGUCCAGAAUGGUGCUAUAGGAGACAUAAGCCCCUGAGAUUUAAGCUCUGAGUGGGAAGUCAUUUACUCAGGUGUUAUGACUCAGGGACACAU